AUUGAACGCUGGCGGCAGGCCUAACACAUGCAAGUCGAGCGGAGCGGCGGACGGGUGAGUAAUGCCUAGGAAUCUGCCUGGUAGUUGGGGAUAACGUCCGGCAACGGGCGCUAAUACCUCAUCCUUUCCGUUGAGCCUGGGUCGGAUUGGCUAGUUGGUGGGGUAAAGGCCUACCAAGGCGACGAUCCGUAACUGGUCUGAGAGGAUGAUCAGUCACACUGGAACUGAGACACGGUCCAGACUCCUACGGGAGGCAGCAGUGGGGAAUAUUGGACAAUGGGCGAAAGCCUGAUCCAGCCAUGCCGCGUGUGUGAAGAAGGUCUUCGGAUUGUAAAGCACUUUAAGUUGGGAGGCGUUACCAACAGAAUAAGCACCGGCUAACUUCGUGCCAGCAGCCGCGGUAAUAC
rnacentral:rRNA from 1 species